UUAGCAUUCGUCGCCAACGAGAAAUUGGGGUCGGCCCGAAAGCUCUAGAAUGCACCCCUCUUCCUCCCCGGGGCCUUCCACCUCCGCGAGUUUUAUGACUUAAAAAAGCCCACAGGCUGGUCUGAAGGUCGGAGGCCUAAUUUUAACGCGUUUUCCUCCCUUUAAUUUGAAACGGGAACGCGAAUGACUGUAAAAUGUGGGCACAAUAUUUAAUCUCUCGCCUUUUUAAAGCUUAAUAGUGGAUAAUAGGGGGGCAGUAUCAAGGGAUAAUUUGGGUCCCCACAGUACCAAAGCAUUUAGAAACCUCUGUUUAAUUUAAGGAAUGAGAUAAGUUACUGCUUUUCUAGACUUCCUAGCAUGGGCUGUUGUGCUGGAGAGAACGAGAGCUACGAAGAGACUACAGUGCCUCUGACUUUUUCAUAGGACAGUUGGCCGAGGAAGACAAACAUAAAGAUGAAGUGCUUAAUUCAAGGUCACACAAUGUCGGGGAUGGACCUCCAGAUUUCCUUACUGGUGAGACGUGGUCUUGUAACACAGUGGUUAAGAAUGUGACUUUGGAGCCAGCCUGCUAGGGGCUGAAUUCUGACUCAGCCAUUUACUAACUGUGUGACCUUAGGGAGGAGGACCUGGUUGAUAGAAGAAUUUAUCUCGUAGUCUUAACAUCCACU
rnacentral:lncRNA from 1 species